GCCAGCAUGGCAUAGUGGUUUGAGUGUUGGUCUGUAACUCUGGAAACCAGGGUUUGAUUCCCAGCUUGGCC